GCCAUCCCUUACAAUGACAAACCUCGUUUUCGUUUCCCAAAUACGAAGUUACUUGAGCUCAAACACAGAAAUAAACUAGACAGUAAAUAAAUUUAAAUGAUGUAAGCAUCAGUCUGAAAAAUGUCACCCACAACCCCGAGGUAGCUUUGUUCUCUGAGCGUGUCUUGCUUUAUUUUAGUUCCAUGAAAUGUCAAUGAAGACAAAAACCCAUUUAAUAACCAAAUAAAUAAUGUAUUUUUUUUUAUAGCUGUCUAUUCUCAUGUACUGACUACUGCUUGAAGCAGGGUGUUGGGCCACUGCACCCAUGACCCAGGAGCAUCAUCUGGAACAAGGAACCACAUUUAACAUGGCAGCAAAACUAACAAACUGAUUUAAGCUUUGGUGAAUCCUUCUUUGGAAGAAGGGGCCCUGCUCCCCUGCCCUUGGAGGAAGGUAAAAGGAGGUUUCAAAGGCAUCCAACUUUUAUUUAACUUCUUAGUACAAAAAUUACGAGUUCUUAUCACUAUCUGGCAACAAAUGCACUUACCAGUUGGUAUCGCUGAGUAUGGUCAGAACUGAAUCCAUGAUGGCAGCAUCCAGCACAUCGCUGUAGGUUAUCAGCAUCUCAUACAGUUGGCUGGCUGUUGUUUUCCGUAUCUAUGGGAAGAGGCAGAGGAAGGUCACUGAAGGCUGCACAGCCACGUGUGGCAGAGCCCAGUGCCACCGCUGGGACUGGCUCCUCAUCACAGGGACAGCAGUUUAUGGUGAGCACUUUGUUACACUCAGGAAUGGACAGACUAGUUCUGCCUCUGACAUGGAUCCGGUGCAGGAAGGGAGUUUGCUUUUGCACCUCCAGGAAGUUCAUGCUACUGAACAGUGCAUUUUCACUGCCCUUUUCCAGUGUUUCAGAUUAAGGGUACAGCUCAGUGCCUCACAGGGAAUGAAGUCAAAUGUUUGAGACUGACCCAUCCCUGGAAGCCAGACUGGAUGGAGCUCUUAGCAACCUGAGCUUGUUGAAGGGGUCCCUGCUCAUUACAGGGGGGUUGGACUAGAUGAGUUUUAAACUUAUUCUAUGAACUGGACAAUUUCUUUGCUUGAGGCAGAGUCUGGCUCUGAGUUGGGCUGCUGCAGGCUCACAGAACAGACUUCCAGCCUGGAGACUGUAAGAGUCAGCAGAACUCUCAAAACCUGCUGGGAGAUGGAUGGUGAGUUGACCUGAACAUUUUACACUGUGGGUUCUGGAAGCAGUGAACACUGCAGCAAGGCUGGUUCUGAAGUACAGUGUGUGGCAGGAUACCUAAUGGAAGACAGCAAAAGUGCAGCAAAACCUGAUUCUGUUGUUUUUUUCCAGGAAACCCUGAUGCUAAGCAAAGGAAGGCAAAAAAAAUGAGGUUUAGUAACUCUAGGCUUAUUUCUGGAGUAGUAGAGUCCAAUUAAACUGACCCAUCUGUAAAAGCAAAACAUAUUUAUGAUAUAAAACACCAAUGGAACACGAAAUGGAAAUG